AGAGUUUGAUCCUGGCUCAGAACGAACGCUGGCGGCGUGCUUAAUACAUGCAAGUUGUGCGAGAAAGUUCUCUUCGGAGAGCGAGUACAGCGGCGAACGGGUGAGUAACACGUAAGCAACCUGCCUCUAAAUCUGGAAUAACCCUGCCAACGUGGGGCUAAUACCGGAUGUGGAAUCGAUGCUCAUGGCAUUGAUUCUAAAGGUGGCUUCGGCUACUGUUUAGAGAUGGGCUUGCGGGCCAUUAGUUAGUUGGUGAGGUAACGGCUCACCAAGGCGACGAUGGCUAGCCGACCUGAGAGGGUGAUCGGCCACAUUGGGACUGAGAUACGGCCCAGACUCCUACGGGAGGCAGCAGUAGGGAAUUUUGCGCAAUGGACGAAAGUCUGACGCAGCAACGCCGCGUGAGCGAUGAAGGCCUUCGGGUUGUAAAGCUCUGCUGGGUAGGAAGAAAAUCUGUACGGUUAAUACCCGUACGGUCUGACGGUACUACUCGAGGAAGCUCCGGCUAACUACGUGCCAGCAGCCGCGGUAAUACGUAGGGAGCAAGCGUUGUUCGGAAUCACUGGGCGUAAAGGGAGUGUAGGCGGAUCAGUAAGUUAGGGGUUAAAGACUCGGGCUCAACCCGAGGGGUGCCUUUAAUACUGCUGGUCUUGAGUAUGGGAGAGGGUAAUGGAAUUCCCGGUGUAGCGGUGGAAUGCGUAGAUAUCGGGAAGAACACCAGUUGCGAAGGCGGUUACCUGGCCCAAUACUGACGCUGAGGCUCGAAAGCUAGGGGAGCAAACAGGAUUAGAUACCCUGGUAGUCCUAGCCGUAAACGAUGGACACUAGUUGUUGGAGGAGUCAAUCCCUUCAGUGACGUAGCAAACGCGUUAAGUGUCCCGCCUGGGGAGUACGCUCGCAAGGGUGAAACUCAAAGGAAUUGACGGGGGCCCGCACAAGCGGUGGAGUAUGUGCUUUAAUUCGAUGCAACGCGAAGAACCUUACCUGGGUUUGACAUGGAGGCGAAAGGUCCUGGAGACAGGGCUCCUUCCUUCGGGAACGCCUCACACAGGUGCUGCAUGGUUGUCGUCAGCUCGUGUCGUGAGAUGUUGGGUUAAGUCCCGCAACGAGCGCAACCCCUGUCCUUAGUUGCCAUCAGGUAAUGCUGGGAACUCUAAGGAGACUGCCUGGUUUAACCAGGAGGAAGGUGGGGAUGACGUCAAAUCAUCAUGGCCCUUACGCCCAGGGCUAGACACGUACUACAAUGGCCGGUACAGAGGGCUGCGAACUCGUGAGAGUAAGCCAAUCCCUUAAAACCGGUCUCAGUUCGGAUUGGAGUCUGCAACUCGACUCCAUGAAGGUGGAAUCGCUAGUAAUCGCGGAUCAGCAUGCCGCGGUGAAUACGUUCCCGGGCCUUGUACACACCGCCCGUCAAGCCAUGAAAGACGGCAGUGCCCGAAGUCGCUUUCCCAACCGCAAGGAGGGAUGCGCCGAAGGUAAGGCCGGUGAUUG
rnacentral:rRNA from 1 species